rnacentral:rRNA from 1 species
GGGCUUUGUUUGCGCAGGAUAGGUGGGAGGCGUUGAAGAUUUUCUUGCGGGGAGAUUGGAGCCGUUGGUGAGAUGCCACUCUAACAAUGCUAGGAUUCUAACCCUAUACCGUUAUCCGGUUAGGGGACAGUUUCAGGUGGUCAGUUUGACUGGGGCGGUCGCCUCCCAAAAGGUAACGGAGGCGUGCAAAGGUUUCCUCAGGCUGGUCGGAAAUCAGUCGUAGAGUGUAAAGGCAUAAGGAAGCUUGAUUGUGAGACCUACAAGUCGAACAAAGACGAAAGUCGGCCUUAGUGAUCCGACGGUUCCGAGUGGAAGGGCCGUCGCUCAACGGAUAAAAGUUACUCUAGGGAUAACAGGCUGAA